AUUGAACGCUGGCGGCAGGCUUAACACAUGCAAGUCGAGCGGUGAUGAGGUGCUUGCACCUUAUCUUAGCGGCGGACGGGUGAGUAAUGCUUAGGAAUCUGCCUAUUAGUGGGGGACAACAUUCCGAAAGGAAUGCUAAUACCGCAUACGUCCUACGGGAGAAAGCAGGGGAUCUUCGGACCUUGCGCUAAUAGAUGAGCCUAAGUCGGAUUAGCUAGUUGGUGGGGCAAAGGCCUACCAAGGCGACGAUCUGUAGCGGGUCUGAGAGGAUGAUCCGCCACACUGGGACUGAGACACGGCCCAGACUCCUACGGGAGGCAGCAGUGGGGAAUAUUGGACAAUGGGGGGAACCCUGAUCCAGCCAUGCCGCGUGUGUGAAGAAGGCCUUAUGGUUGUAAAGCACUUUAAGCGAGGAGGAGGCUACUGAGACUAAUACUCUUGGAUAGUGGACGUUACUCGCAGAAUAAGCACCGGCUAACUCUGUGCCAGCCGCCGCGGUAACAC
rnacentral:rRNA from 1 species